rnacentral:rRNA from 1 species
GACGAACGCUGGCGGCGUGCUUAACACAUGCAAGUCGAGCGGUAAGGCCCUUUCGGGGGUACACGAGCGGCGAACGGGUGAGUAACACGUGGGUGACCUGCCCUCAGCUCUGGGAUAAGCCUGGGAAACCGGGUCUAAUACUGGAUAUGACUCCAUGACGCAUGUUGUGGGGUGGAAAGCCUUGUGCGGCUGAGGAUGGGCCCGCGGCCUAUCAGCUUGUUGGUGGGGUGANGGCCUACCAAGGCGACGACGGGUAGCCGGCCUGAGAGGGCGACCGGCCACACUGGGACUGAGACACGGCCCAGACUCCUACGGGAGGCAGCAGUGGGGAAUAUUGGACAAUGGGCGCAAGCCUGAUCCAGCGAUGCCGCGUGUGUGAAGAAGGCCCUGCGGGGUUGUAAAGCACUUUCAGUAAGGGAAGAAAAGCCGAGUGCUAAUAUCACUCGGUCUUGACGUUACUUACAGAAGAAGCACCGGCUAACUCCGU